rnacentral:rRNA from 1 species
GAUGAACGCUGACAGAAUGCUUAACACAUGCAAGUCUUUGGCGAAGCUGUGCUUGCACAGCCUAGCCAAGGCGGACGGGUGAGUAACGCGUAAGGAACUUGCCCUGCAGUCAGGGAUAACAGACGGAAACGACUGAUAAGACCUGGUAAAGUCAGGCGGACUCAUGUCCAGCCUGAUGAAAAGUGAUGCUGCAGGAGAGCCUUGCGUCCUAUUAGCUUGUUGGUGGGGAACGGCCCACCAAGGCGAUGAUAGGUAGCCGGCCUGAGAGGGUGGACGGCCACAAGGGGACUGAGAUACGGCCCUUACUCCUACGGGAGGCAGCAGUGGGGAAUAUUGGACAAUGGGGGCAACCCUGAUCCAGCAAUUCUGUGUGCACGAUGAAGGUUUUCGGAUUGUAAAGUGCUUUCAGCAGGGAAGAAAAAAAUGACGGUACCUGCAGAAGAAGCGACGGCUAAAUACGUG